CCCGAAGCGGGCCCGGCCCGCCCCACGUGGGGGACCGGUAGGUGUUCUCGGUGGGCAUUCUGCGUGAUGCUCACCUGCUGUCUUCAUUGCGGAAUGUUAAAACUGUUUCUCAGAAGAUGAUGAUGCCAUUCGAGAAGGGCCCUUCAAACCCAGGAGGGCCGCGGAAAGGUGGCGGGGACGAGCCCGGGAAACUGCCGGAGCAGGAGGAGGAGGAGGAGGACGACGAGGAGGAGGAGGAGGAAUGCCAGGUCUCCCACGGAACCGGCCACUGCAAGUGGUUCAACGUGCGGAUGGGGUUUGGGUUCAUCUCCAUGAUCAGCCGGGAGGGGAGCCCCCUGGAUCCCGCCGUCGAUGUCUUCGUACACCAAAGCAAGUUACACAUGGAAGGGUUUCGAAGCCUUAAAGAGGGUGAACCAUUGGAAUUCACGUUUAAGAAAUCUUCCAAAGGCCUUGAAUCGAUACGGGUAACAGGCCCAGGUGGGAGCCCCUGCUUGGGAAGUGAAAGGCGACCCAAAGGGAAGAUGUUACAGAAAAGAAAACCAAAGGGAGACAGAUGCUACAACUGUGGCGGCCUGGAUCACCACGCUAAGGAAUGCAGCCUACCUCCUCAGCCCAAGAAGUGCCAUUGCUGCCAGAGCAUCCUGCACAUGGUGGCCACCUGCCCACACAAAACGGGGGCACAGCCACCCUCCAGCUCUCAGGGAAGACCGGAACCAGAGCCUCAGCCCUCCACAUCGGCGGCCGCCGUCCCCAGAGAGGCAGGAGGAGCAGCUGCCGGUCACCCGACUCCCCAGCACCAGCCGGAGGGUAGUAAGCCUGAGGCCUCCGAACGCCUAGUUUGUGUGAAAAGACCGAUUAAGUGGUAAUUCCUGGACUGGUUGCUUCUGUGGAUAUUUGUGACGCCGGGCACAGUAUUACACAGUUUGUCAAAGGAAGAGAAGAUUGUGAUGUCUUGAAGGGCGACUCACCUGUUUACUGUCAUCUUCACGGACUAACGCACUGAUCGCCCUUCUGCAAGAUCCUGUAUUUUCUACUAGCAUUUCACGCCUAAUGUCUUAUUUCUGUCAAUCAUGGAUAUUGUGAGGUUAAAGAGGAUCACUUGAUUAAAAAAAAAAAUAAACCUAUAAUGUUGCCAUUUCUAGUGGCCGUUGGAAAUUUUUCUGUGGUUUGCGUAGUUGAAGGGCCCACGCCGGUCCCUCUCCCAAACUCUUGCUCUCCAGCCCGACGCACCCAGCAGACCCGAACAUGUCAAGACAGGUCACUUUGGGUUUGAUGCGUCUUGGGAAAGACACACUUUACCAAAGCGGCUAACUGACCCUCGCAGCCACCACCCGAAACACCAAAUCCAGCUGCCCCGUACAUCGUAGCCGAAGGUGACGGUUGGUGUCAAAAUCUCUUAGCCAUAUGGUCACCCACAGUGUCGAAAGACCCAAAACCCUCGGCAGAGCUAGGUUUAUAGAAUUUUCUUGCAGUCUUUCAGAUGAAUCUUAAACUCUUUGAAAAGCACAACUGAUCAGGGCCAGCGUGCAUCAGUACCAGCCACCUGAUAUGCUGAAUGUAGAGUUAGCAUAAUUCUUUUUAAGAUGUAAGACUGUAUUUAUUAUUUAUUUACGACGUGACUCUUAAAACCUUACCAGUGCAGCUGUUGAGUUCAUCUGUCGAUCCCACCCACCAUAAAGGACAGUUAUUUAAAUCAUGUCAUUUUCCAGUAACCAUGUGAAGGAUUGUAUACUUGGAUGUUUCUAUAACGGUGAUUGUACACGUAUUUUUAUCAUCAUGUUUUCA